AUGUGAGCCAACACACCAGGCCCAGGCUGGGUAAUUUAUAAAGAAAUUUACUUCUGCCCGCCCCGCCCUGCCUCCCCGCCGAGUGGCUGAGGCGUAGCGCUGCGAUCCCCGCACCCCUGGGAACAUGGCGCUGCGAGUGGUGCAGAGCGUGCCGGCCGUGCUGUGCAGCCUGCACGCGGUCCUGGCACCUGCCGCGCCCUGCCCGUGGAGGCCCUGGCAGCUUGGGAUGGGCGCCGUCCGGUCGCUGCGCAUGGGACCCGCUCUUCUCUGGGGAAGCGUUGGGAGAUGUUUACUGUAGUCUGCCUGAAGUUGGGACAAAAUUGAACAAACAAGGUGAGUUUGGUGCUUUGGAAAGUGUGAAAGCUGCUAGUGAACUCUAUUCUCCUUUAUCAGAAGUAACCGAAAUUAAUGAAGCUCUUGCAGAAAAUCCAGGACUUGUAAACAAAUCUUGUUAUGAAGAUGGUUGGCUGAUCAAGAUGACACUGAGUAAUCCUUCAUAACUAGAUGAACUUAUGAGGGAAGAAGCAUAUGAGAAAUACAUAAAAUCUAUUGAGGAGUGAAAAUGGAACCACUAUAAAUAAGCUAGUAUGAAAUAACGCAACCCAGCAGAGUUGUCCUAAAUUAGUGGUGGAUAGAAGACUUAGAAUAGCAACUUUUAGCAUUACCCAUGGGAAAAAAAAACUACUGUUAACACUGUUAAUGAAAGAAGAUGCCUUUUAACUUUCUAAUGAUUGUAGAUAAACAUAAUACGUGUCUUUUUCACAAUAUCCUAUGAUUUUUAGACUAGGCUCUAGUAUUCAGAAUUCGUGAAAUUAUCCAUGGUAAAAAUUAGUUAUAAAAAUUACAUAAUUCAAAGAUAAUGUUGUUAUUCUUAAGCCUUAUAUAAUAUUGUAACUUGUGUAUGUCCAUACCUGGAUUUGGGAUGAAAUACUUAAUGAUCUUUCCAUUGGAAAUAACUGGGAAUGAAGAAGUUUUUGUUGCUUGUACAGUGUCAGAUGAAGAACAACACUAUCUUAAUUUUGCAAUACACUACAUUUGCUGGUGCUAUUUUUAUACAGUGAAGCAACAGCUUUGCAGCAAAAUAAUAAAAUACUUCGUUUAAAAAAAAAAAAAGAAAAGAAAUUUACUUCUUACAAUUCUGGAGGCCAGGCAGUCCAUGAUCAGGUGCCAGCAUCUGGAAAGGGCCUUCUUGCUGUCCUCCCAUGGCAGAAGAUGGAAGGGCAGGGGAGAGCUAACAUGCUCCUGCAAGCUCUUUUUAUAAUGGCAUCAAUCAAAUAUGAGGCCAGAAUCCUUGUGACCUAAUCAUCUCCUAGAAGGCUCCACCUCCCAACCCUGUUGCAUUGGGAUUAAGUUUCCAACACACGAAUUUUGGAGACAACACAUUCAAAACAUAGCAUUCCACACCUUGGGCUCCCCAGAUUCAUGUCCUCACAUGCAAAAUAAAUUCAUUCCAUCCCAAUAGCCCCCAAAAAGUCUUAACUUGUUCCAGCAUCAACUUUAAAGUCAAAGUCCAAAGUUUCAUCUAAAUCAGAUAUGAGUGAGACUCAAGGCAUGAUUCAUCAUGAGACAAAGGAUGUACAUUUGCAAUGUUAUGUCAGACAAAACAAAAAUAUGUAAAUAUCCAUCAAUAGGGAACUGCUUAAACAUUUUUUUGUAUAAUCAUAAAAUGAAACAUGCAGACGUUUAAUGAGCUAGAUCUCAACGUGCUGAUAUGGAAAGAGCUUCAGUAUGUAUUAAGGACAUAAAUUAAGUGUACAAUAAUGUGUGUGUGUAUAUAUGUAUAUGCUUAUGUGUGUAUGGAAAGUAUCUCAGCAGAUACAAUAAAAACUUAAUUGUGAUUACCCCUGGAUCAAUUAAUUAACAUGUGGUAUAGUAUAAGGAAAUGAAUUUUAUACCUUGAUCAAACAUUUGAAAAAUUUUACAAUAUAUUGCUUUAUAAUUUUU